rnacentral:lncRNA from 1 species
CCCAAGUCAGCAAAUAGGUUAGUCAUAGUCAAUAUGCUAAGCUGCAUCUAUAAACUGAUGUUUAAGCUUGAUGAGUCAAAAAAUUCCUGUCUCAGAGUUAGUGCUAAUUCUUCUCUUGUCUUCAGUGAGUGCAAGAAUGGGGCAUUUUGAUUUGUCAGACCUAAUUCCCUAAACACAAUGCUCCUGUGAAUUAUUUCAUUUCAGUAGGAAAAGGACUAUGACAUGGACUUACCACAACGGUGUCUAUGCUGGGAAACUUUUACAGAGUGAGCUCAGAGUCCUUUCUCUUCUUCUGAAUGCUGAAGUUAUUUUGUUUAAGGCAUCAGCAUCUUUAUAGAGAAGCCUCUGAAGCACCUGAGAAGGCCCUGCAGUUCUCUGCAUUUGAUGGCAUCAUCAAGUUAACAUGGAUAAAAGGAGCAGUUCUUUUUUAUGUUCUUAUGACAUUUUUAGGACUAGAUCUUUGUGAUUUUGCAUUGUACCUUCAGACAAAUCCUGUUUCCAUGGCUCUGGCUGUGAUGGCUUUUCAUUUGCUCUGCAUCAGAAGGACACUACAGAACUGUGGCACUAAAAGUUACAUUGGACCAUAAAGAUGAAAGGAAAGGAAAGCAAAAAAAAAAAAAAAAAGUAUGCUGUUUUUAAGAUCAGAGGACAACCUAAGAACCACAUUAACCAUAAUGAAAAUGAAAUUUGAAAAGAAUUGCUUACAGUACUUAAAACAGUACUCCACUAUGAGAAAAGAGGUGGGAGAAUUAUCGAAGACAAUUUUUUAAAAUCCUUUGUAGCCAUUCAGAAAUGGUUUCUAAGCAACCAGAACAUGCAGAUAGCCCCAGGAGUAAGAGGUAUUAUGAAUGCUUGGAGACACAAAGAGGAAGAGAAGGAUGAAACAGAGCUGGAAUCAGGCUGGAUAGAUGCUGGAGUGGAGGGCUCUCCCUGCUUAGCACCAGCACUGCAGCUGUGAGGCAGAGGGUGAGCUGCCUCACCAUGAGAAGAUGCACCAAAAGAAGGAAAGUGAAGGGUGUAAGAACUUAAAUGAACAACAUAAGCUUUGUAUCACUCUUUGAGACCUCUCAUUAAAAAUGGGUGAGAGUGCAAAUCUUGCUGUAUGUAAUUAUCUUUAUUUUCCAGAAGACUGACAUUUAGAGUUCCCAUGUACUUUAUUCUAGCUGUUUAAGAAAUGUUCUUGUUAGCUUUUGUCCCGAGCAGUAAUUGUUCACUUUUUAUUCUGGCAAAUCUUUCAUUAAUGGCUGAAUUUAAACACUAAGGAGAAAGAUGAGUAUUUUAAAAAUUACUGGUUAACUAGAUAAGCAGAAAAAAAAAAAGAAAAAAAAAAGAAGCAUAAUUGAGUGAAUAUGAUGGAAAACACUGAAAGGCUGGUCAAAAUGUUUUUAUAUUGUCAGCUUGGGUAAAAACUACAUUUUUAGAGUAUAUUUCUAUAUAUUUUUUUGACUAUCGAUAAAUAAACCACAAACCUUAUAUCA